rnacentral:rRNA from 1 species
AGUGGCAGACGGGUGAGUAAUGCAUGGGAAUCUACCGUUCUCUACGGAAUAACUCAGGGAAACUUGUGCUAAUACCGUAUACGCCCUUUUGGGGAAAGAUUUAUCGGAGAAUGAUGAGCCCAUGUUGGAUUAGCUAGUUGGUGGGGUAAAGGCCUACCAAGGCGACGAUCCAUAGCUGGUCUGAGAGGAUGAUCAGCCACACUGGGACUGAGACACGGCCCAGACUCC